rnacentral:rRNA from 1 species
GUGUCAGCCGCCGCGGUAAGACAGAGGUGGCUAGCGUUGUUCGGAUUUAUUGGGCGUAAAGCGAACGCAGGUGGUUUGGUAAGUCAGGGGUGAAAUUCCACAGCUUAACUGUGGCAUUGCCUUUGAUACUGCCUUUCUUGAGUACAUGAGGGGGAAGCGGAAUUCCGAGUGUAGAGGUGAAAUUCGUAGAUAUUCGGAGGAACACCGGUGGCGAAGGCGGCUUCCUGGCAUGUAACUGACACUCAUGUUCGAAAGCGUGGGUAGCAAACAGGAUUAGAUACCCGGGUAGUCC